rnacentral:rRNA from 1 species
UACGUAGGGUGCGAGCGUUGUCCGGAAUUAUUGGGCGUAAAGAGCGUGUAGGCGGCCGCACAGGUCCGUUGUGAAAACUGGAGGCUCAACCUUCAGACGUCGAUGGAAACCGUGCGGCUAGAGUCCGGAAGAGGAGAGUGGAAUUCCUGGUGUAGCGGUGAAAUGCGCAGAGUAUCAGGAAGAACACCCGUGGCGAAGGCGGCUCUCUGGGACGGUACUGACGCUGAGACGCGAAAGCGUGGGGAGCGAACAGG